CUCGCCUCCUCCCGCCUGCGCGCGUCUCUCGCUCUUCUGCCUGACUCUCUAUUUUAAGACACUCGCUUCGCCUGUCCUCCCCGCCCCUCCGUUGGAACAACCUCCAGGACCCCCACCGGCCUGGUCGAGAGGACUGCGGUCGCCCCUCCGGUCCCCUGCGCUCGCUGCCCGUGCGAGCCGAGCAUCGGAUGUUUGCGCCGAUUGCAAACUUGACUGCCCCAUGGAGAUCCCAAACCAUGGAUGACCCUUGCCCUGUCCGCUAUCCCAGUAAUAAACUGUAGAAAUAAAAAAGUAACCAACAGAAGUGUGCAUUCCUUUU